CUCUGGGGCAGCUGUGGGGUGCUUGUGCUGCUAGCACAUGAAAUACAUUGGGAGAACAGGUCCCUUUGGCACCAUUUCCUUGCUGGUUGAAGUGGACUGAACUACAAACAUGCUUUCUCAAACCUUGGAAAAGGUAUCCACCUGUCUGCAGAUUUGGCCUGCGUUACUCCUGCAUCUGAGCCUCCUGCAAGCUGUUUUUGUGUGAGACCCGAUCCCCAAACAUCUUGCGCACACAUCUUGCAGCCUGGCUCUGCAGGCGAGCUCAAUGGGGAGCGCGUUGCCUUGCUGGUGAGGCCUGUUGUGGUUUCGGCACGGACGGAGCACAUAGCUGCCGAGUGCUGUCAGGGUCUCAGCAGCCCCACAUUUGCCUUACAGCAGACAUUUAGGUACCCAGAGAACUUGUGGUUCAAUUGAAAAAUAGCUCAUCUGCCCAAGGCCUCUCAACAUGAGUGAGGCUGCAGCUAAACUGAAGUUUGGGGGGGGCUGGAUGUUGGGUUUUGCCGCUUCAGCUGGCAGUGAAGGCCCACCUGCAGCUCAGGGGGAAAUUACAGCUUCAGCUCUCAAACUGAGCACCAAAUCAACUAUUGAAAGCACCUGUGUGAUGGCACUUCUAUUCGGGCUCUGUGCGUGUCUGCAUUUCUCCUUUUGUGGAUUUGUCCCAGAGAGAUUCUUGAGACUGACCGUGGGACUGCUGUAGGAAGAUGGUCUUUGGGACAGCAGGUUCUGAGACACAAACCCACAUUCCCAACAAACUGUUCUUAAUCAUUAAGUGAGCAUCACCUUACAGAUUGUGGAUAAUAGAUUUAUUUAAGUAGGGAAAUCACGGUGCGACUCACGUGUCCAAACAAACUACCACUCCUCUUUUUUGAUGUGCGAUCCUCACGACCUGCAAGCAGCCUGCAGUGGAUGUGUGCUCUCAGAAACCCUGAAGCAAAAAGCUCUGGCCUUCAGAAUGCUGUUUGCACAGUGCUUUUCAUGGGGGAAGCCUAACGCAGGAUGCGCUGCAGGCAGCAGAAAGGUUCCCACUGUCUGAAAUUAAUCCCAAAUCAUUUGCCUGGAUCUUGGUUUGAAUCACACAAUCCAAUUACAACUUAAUCCCAUCAAUAUGAAAUAAAUGUUCCCACCUUUGGUAAUUUUCUCCGUGCGGAAAGCUGCUCUGCAGCACACAGCCUCACGCCUGUCAGUGUGUAUGUUGUGUUCCUGCUGCACAACGGGAAGGGGGGCAGAGGAGGAUGGCUGGUGAAACACACAGCUUGAAAAUCCUUCUUUUGGCCCAACGUGGGAACGCUCUACAGAGAUACUGUCAUGGAUCCAAGCAGGCUGGGGUUAAACGGUUUCCUCAGCUUUUCUCCCUAAAUCAAUUUGAAUAUUCUUGGCAAGCUCUGUUACUAUGCAUGGUGGGCAGCUGUGAUUCAAGCUGGGAUUUUUUUUUCCCCUUUCUACUGUCCCAGUCUUCCUGUCUUGUGCAGAUGUGAUCCUUUCUCUCUGUCUGCCCAACAGCUAAUUAUUUUACCAGACCAGCCAAUAGUCUGAAGAAAACAGACCACGCAUAUUCUUGAAAGCAACAACUGUGUUACAAUGUUGGGGGGAUGGGGAAGAAAAAAAAAAAAAGUCACUUCCUUCUGACCCACUCCUUAAGCAAACCUCCAUAAAUAGCAUGCACGCUGACUAAUAAGGGACCCAUCCAUCUCCUAAGUUAGUUACCCACCUUUCACAACAGAAAUGUACCCUGUGUAUUUGGGGAAAGUUGGAGAAAGCCAGAUUGAGUGUACAAGUCAUCUUGCCAAGAUCACCAGCGACCCAGAAAUGUACGUGCCCAUGUUGGUGUGAGAAUGUGGAUGGCACGUCAACUGCUCCCCAGAAACUGCCAGGGGUCACUGUGCUCACUGAAAUUUCAUUCCCAGUCUCUUACAGGCAAUUAUGCCCUUCUUUAAAAUAUUGGAAUAAAUAAUUACUACAAUUAAAAUAAUUAGCCACUGAGUUUGGACAGUACUUCUGCAAAGCUGACUGCUCUGUAAUAGUCUGUCCCAUCCCAGGUGUGAGCUGUUGAGCUAUCAGGUGCACCACAAUCACAGCGUUGUGUUUUGUG